rnacentral:rRNA from 1 species
UACGAAGGGGGCUAGCGUUGCUCGGAAUCACUGGGCGUAAAGCGCACGUAGGCGGAUUGCUAAGUCAGGGGUGAAAUCCUGGAGCUCAACUCCAGAACUGCCUUUGAUACUGGCGAUCUUGAGUCCGGGAGAGGUGAGUGGAACUGCGAGUGUAGAGGUGAAAUUCGUAGAUAUUGGAAGAACACCAGUGGCGAAGGCGGCUCACUGGACCGGCAUUGACGCUG